UAGGUUAAUUAUUUGUUAUUUUAUUUGUCGGGACUUAGAGAAAAAAAAAAAAAAAAAACCACAGCUGGGACUUAAAACGUAUUUUGGUAUUAGAUUUAUGGCAGCCACUGUUAAGCUUACAAUUUUAUUGUUUAAAAAUAAUUAUGUUUACGUAAUGUGCUUUCUUUGCAUUAUAUAUUUGCUUUUGCGUA